rnacentral:rRNA from 1 species
CUGCUGCCUCCCGUAGGAGUUUGGUCCGUGUCUCAGUACCAAUGUGGGGGGUUAACCUCUCAGUCCCCCUAUGUAUCGUCGCCUUGGUGAGCCGUUACCUCACCAACCAGCUAAUACAACGCAUGCCCAUCAUCAACCACCGGAGUUUUCAACCCCAUGCGAUGCCGCAUGAGAUAUUAUGGGGUAUUAGUACCAAUUUCUCAGUGUUAUCCCCCUGUUGAUGGUAGGUUGCAUACGCGUUACGCACCCGUGCCG